CUGUGAGAUAAUGUGCAAUGUCAGAGUGAAAUCCAGGAAUGCUUUUUGUAGCAUUUUACAAUAAAUAUCUCAACAUGCAGAUGAGGUGAGUAGAUCAUGCUGCUUCUUAGCAAAUCCACAGGUUUCAUCUGUUCUUCUAACUCUUGCCUUAGAGACCUACGGCAGAGGUAGCAGUCAGUGCAUAAAAACCAGAACAAAUAUCGGACAUCUAGACUGGAAGAGAACCUUCAUAAAUUAACCUUAUUAGUGCAUUACUGUAAGCGAAUGCCAAAAAAGCUCCUAAUUUGCAUUAAGAUAGAUUUUUCAGGUUGGCUGCAUGAUUUAAUUAAAGAAAAGAUUAAGAAUCAUUAAACAAGCUGCUCUACCUUGCAAUAACAGAAUUCAUAUCUGAUUCAGGUUAACGAAAACACAGAUGGUGAUUCAGUAACUGUUGAGUUGCUGUAACAGAAUGAAAAUGAUCCCAUUAGUUCUCUGGAAAUGUGAGGGAAUUUGGAAAUUAGUAUGCAGAUACAUUGUAUGGUGCUAGACAGCUUGGUCUGCUCGGAUCAUCGCUGAUUAUACUUUGUUUGGGUUGGCAACACUGAACUUAAUAAAUGAAAAAAUGUUCCAGUAUACCACAGUUGGAAACUGUUCAAGGUUGAAAUAGGUGUGCAGGCUUUCAAAAGGAGAGAGUUAAGUAAACAAAUGUCAAUCAAUUCAGAACUGGCAACUUUUUUUCUUUCCUUUAAAGAAUAUGUCUGUUCUUGAGAAGCAAGUGUCAUAAAAAUGGAAAACCUUUACUGGAUACAUAUGCCUGUGUGGUAUUUAUUGUAACAGAAGUAUUUUAAAUGCAUAGUAUCAGUUUGAGGGAGACGUACAAGCAUUUUAAUAGUUUCCUUUCUGGCAGAAAUAGAAAAAUUCAGUCACUAUGAGGAUUAUUAUAUUUUUCACAAAAGGAAAUCAAUGUAAUUCUGAUGGAAAAUGUUAUGACAGGAUAAAAAAAGUGUAAGUAUAAUGGCUAUUGAAAGUUUAAAGGUGUCAAUAAGGACCACAAAGUAAUCCUCAAGGAGCCUUCUGGGAAAGAACAACUUAAACAAGUAGUAUAGUCAAUCACAGAAGCUGACAGAAAUAGCCUUCAUGUCAAGCGCUCAACUACACAUGCAGCCUCCAUUUUUAACACCUAGUUCAUGCCAUCAGUCUGAGUGCUGAGCAUCUGACCCUUUGGAAUGAGUCUCCA
rnacentral:lncRNA from 1 species